GUGAGGGAAAGUUGCAAAGCACUUUGAAGAGAGAGUUAAAGAGGACGUGAAACUGGUGAGGUGGAAACGGAUAGAGCCAGCGGAUCUGGCUUGCAUUCAAUCGUUCUGCCCGUGGGUGCCGAGGCUGCCGCUUCUCCAGAUUGGGACGGUGUCGAGGCAAUGCCUGAGGGCGAAUGAUGCAAUUGCAAGUGGAGUGCGCCGAGUGGCCUGAGGCAGCGGCAUGAACUUGGCUUUGAGGCCAGCCCGAAAGGGUAUGGAACCCGGGUCAGGGGAGUGCUGUUUGUCCUUGGGUGAGUUUGUUUGGCAUGGCUUACGGGCUUGGAUGGGUGCCGAGCUGGUGGCAGGUACCGGUCGCAUGCGACACGGACCAGUGGUCAGCUCGGUCCUGUUCGAGCUCUCAUGCUCUUACUCGGUGUAAAAGCUGGUCAUCUCUCCGACCCGUCUUGAAACACGGACCAAGGAGUUUAUCGUGUGCGCGAGUCAUUGGGUGUUGAAAACCCAAAGGCGAAAUGAAAGUGAAGGUGCCCGCAAGGGGCUGACGUGCGAUCUGGUGUGCCUUGGCCCACUAGCGCAGCAUGGCCCCAUCCUGAAUGCUUGCAUUGGGGUGGAGGCAGAGCGUACGCGAUGAGACCCGAAAGAUGGUGAACUAUUCCUGAGCAGGAUGAAGCCAGAGGAAACUCUGGUGGAAGUC
rnacentral:rRNA from 1 species